rfam:Nitratireductor aquibiodomus RA22 Contig13, whole genome shotgun sequence.
CCCCUUUUCUUGGUGCGGCUGCCCCACUAUAUUCGCUUCGUCGGCUUGACCGACUAUGGCGAUAAACUGACGGUGUAAUAAACCAUUCGGACCCGGGGGCAGUGCCCGGCGCCUCCACCAGAAACCGCCCGGGGCAAUCAGCCCGCAGACGGCUUCUGAUGGGGGCGAAACAGGAUCGACGAGGGUGUAAAGAUCGGACUUUCGCUCGGCAUGAUACCACCGUUAUCGGGUCAAACCAGUAGUUGCAAACGACAACUAUGCGGAGGCACGUCUCGCUGCUUAAUGCGGUGCGACAGCUUCACUUAAACUCCUGAGGGUUCGCACUUUCAGGCGGGGUUCGAAGGCACCUGGCAACAGAAGCCUUCACU